ACCCAUCCCACCUCCCCUUCCCUCCACCCCCCAGUUGUACAGCUUUCAUACCAAUCUCGACAUUAGACUAAAUACCUGGUGACUCCCCUUCCACCCUUUCCCUGCUUUUCUAUUAACUCCUAUUCUGCUGGAUUUACUCAAGACCUGCUAGGUGGUAUUUACUUGUUUAUACUGGUUCUUAAAAUAUUCAAUAAACAUCUUCCAAUCAUCCUUAUAUUCUUUAUCAUCUUUUUCUCUUGCCCUGUUCGUUAUGCUUGCCAAUUCAGCAUAUUCAAACAUUUUAAACUGCCACUCUUCCUUGGGGGGGUUCUGUGUUUGCUCCCACCUUUGCACCAAGAAGAUUCUAGCAGCAGUGGUGGCAUAUAAUAAUAUUUUUUUGUUUUGAUUUUUAGGGACUUCUGUUGUUACCAUUCCCAAAAGGAAUGCCUCGGGCUUUGGGGGGAAUUUUUUUUUAAUAUAUUUUUUAAUGUAUUGUAAAUUACUUCCCAGAAUUCCCUGAUUACUUUACAGGACCACCACAUGUGGGAAAAGCAUCCCUCUACUUCAUUGCAUUUACCUUUUUCUUUUUUCAACAUUUUCACUAGUUUGGCAGGUGUUAAAUAGUAUGUUCUUGCUGGCUGACUAAAACAAUAAGGUGAUGGGACCUGACAUAUCUCAGUUGGCAAAGUGUUCCACAGGCUGGGCAUCGGAAAAAGCCCUGCCACCGGUUAACAUCAGUCGUAUUUCAUGGGGUCAAGGGAUCUGGAGAUGAUGACCAGAACAUAUGGAAGAAGGCAAGUAUUUGCUGAACUGAACUGCCAUCCCAAGACUGCAAUGGCUUUGGAAAUCAAGUUAAGAUUCUAAUAUUUGGACCUUCCAUUUUCCAAUUGCUUGCAAAGAGCCCAUUCCCUAAUAUUUCAAAAUAUUUGACUCAUAUAAUAUGUAGACUGGCUCCUAUAAUAUGUAAACUGUUAAUGCCUAGGAAUGUUUGGGCUCAGCCAAUGUCACCCUGCCCUUUCUGAGCCAGAACAGCAAUCUGCAGCAUAUUUAUUGCAUCUUGCAAAGUCAGUGGGUUAUGGUUCUCUUUCUUAACCAUAAAAAAGGAAAGAAAAAUGGUUACAGCUUUCUCAAUUCUGUAAAUUAGUAAAAACAAAGAAAGAAGCAAGUUUGAAGCUUUUGAAAACAGCAAGCAUAUUAAGUAUAUCAAUUUUCUAAAAAAUGGAAACAUCUUGCCAUCUUGAAAUUUGUGGUUUUUAAUACAGGAGACUCCUGAUUCCUUGUAUAGAUUACAAAAUGCAGCUGUGCAGCAACAUAAAUGUCUCACAGGGACAGGUAGAUACCUAACCCAAAUGCGGUAUCCACGCUUGAGUAAUCCAGAGACCUUGUCCUCCAUUCUUGCUGCUUGGCUGUCCUGCACUGUUCAAAUUACCUUUGUUUCUUCCAAGUAAGAAAAACAAUUUUGCUAAAGUUGAGAUAUCGGUGCUAAAGUCUAUGAAGCUACUGUUUUGUACCUCAGUGGCUUCUCUGGUCUAAUCACUCUUCUUUAUGGGCCAUGUUUUCCUAGCAAGCAGAUACCAUGCCUCUAGAAAUGCACAUCUUGUGGAUCUAAAUGCACUUUCUUCUCACCAGCAUCACUAUCUUUGUGGCUUCCUAACAAGCUGACUAUUUAUCACAUAUAUGAAGGAAAAUGAUGCUUUGCAGAUCUGCUGCCAGCUGGCCAUGAAGUAUCCAGAUGCUUGUAAACCUCAGGAUUCAGUGAGAGUGGAAUUCUUAAUACUGAGUCUUUGGAACUGGGUGUUCAGACUCUGUGGCCCAGCCAGGAAUCAUUUCCUUGGGAUAAUCCAUGCCAGAAGAAGAAUGAAGGAGUAGCAUGGCCAGUGCCAAACAUUGGGGGAUAACAGCAGCAUUCUGGAACAAGGAAGAAAUCCUGAUCUGGACACAUUCCUAUACUGCUCACCCAUCCAUUGAGACUUCAGUCAUUUCUGGGCAAUUUGGAUACAUCUCUGGCUAAGAGUGACAAGAACUGCAUAGCCUAGUGCUGAUGCAAGCUGGUGGGCGGGUGCUUGGACAGCGCAAGAGCUCAGAAGACCCUAAGCACUCUUGGAAGAAAGCAGGAAUGCCACACAUUCCAGAGGCCUUGGGAGACAAAGAGGAAUGCAAGGACCCAUUUUCCCUCUGCAGAAGCUGAACUCUCAGAGCAACUGACACAUUGCUUAUCAAGCUGAUCUGUGCAAGAAGAAGCCACUGUUAUACCAGAAACGGUUUGGAAGGGAAGUCGAAUACCUGGGCACUUGUCACAAUGAGAAGCAAAGGUUGGCUGUGAUGGCCAAAUACCUGAGCAAGUUCAGUAGAAUGAAAUAGAAAACUCUGCUCUUAAAUCUUCAGAGAAUAUGGCAGGAACAGUUUGGCAGACUUCUACAUUCAUGAAAGCAUCUAGAUAAGCUUUCUUGUAUAAGCUAGAGGAAAGCAAUAUGUUGCCAGAAUCUAUCCAACAUUGUAUCUAAAAGAGGUGUCAGCAGCAGGAGUUUCACAGGACUCUAAUGAAAACAGAUGCACUUUUACCUCCUGACACUGGUGUGGAUGUAGGAUUCACCACCUCCCUAGAAAUUCACGCAGGUACAGAAUGGUCACUGGGCUGCUGCAUCCUGUCUGUUUGUGCUUUCUCAUGGCUUUCCUUUCUUCUCAAGGAGCAAAGAGUGAACUUCCCAGCAAGUAAAUAUGGUAGCACCUGCUUUUUGCACCUGACCCAUGUAAUCGUAUUUUUCUAAAUAAAUUUUUUUUUGGUACUGGU